CCGGACACAAAUGUUCCAGGACCAGACCGGCGAUUGUGGGACUGCGAGAGCUGUUACCCAGACGCAUCUGUGGCAAGAGAAGAGAAAUACGACACAGUGUAUUUCCUGCUGACACAAGUUAUUUGACUCCAGUCCAUGAAUGGUCUCUGCUGCUGCCAAAAUGAGCCAUGAUCAGAUCCACCGCCCGGCUCACAGACCUCAGUAAACCUAAAGACAGCAGACAAGGGAAGUGCUUCGAUGAGCUGAUGCUUCCAUGUUUGGGCAAAAUUGCAACAGUACACGUCACAACAACAAUAAACAGAAAAAAAAGGGA